UACGAAGGGGAGCGAGCGUUGUUCGGAUUUACUGGGCGUAAAGGGCGCGCAGGCGGCUCGUUUUGUCAGGCGUGAAAGCCCCGGGCUUAACCUGGGAACUGCGUUUGAUACGGACGGGCUAGAGUUCGGGAGAGGAGAGUGGAAUUCCCAGUGUAGAGGUGAAAUUCGUAGAUAUUGGGAAGAACACCGGUGGCGAAGGCGGCUCUCUGGACCGAGACUGACGCUGAGGCGCGAAAGCGUGGGGAGCAAACAGGG
rnacentral:rRNA from 1 species